rnacentral:misc_RNA from 1 species
AAAAUGCGAUAAGUAAUGUGAAUUGCAGAAUUCAGUGAAUCAUCGAAUCUUUGAACGCACAUUGCGCCCGCCAGUACUCUGGCGGGCAUGCCUGUCUGAGCGUCAUUUCAACCCUCAGGACCCGUUCGCGGGACCUGGCGUUGGGGAUCAGCCCUCCGGGGCUGGCCCUGAAAUCUAGUGGCGGUCCUCACGCGACCUCCUCUGUGCAGUAGUAAUACCUCGCAGCUGGAAAGCGUAAGGGCCACGCCGUAAAACCCCCUACUUCUCAAGGUUGACCUCAGAUCAGGUAGGAAUACCCGCUGAACUUAA